rnacentral:rRNA from 1 species
UCCUACGGGAGGCAGCAGUGAGGAAUUUUCCGCAAUGGGCGAAAGCCUGACGGAGCGACGCCGCGUGUGGGAAGAAGGCCUUAGGGUCGUAAACCACUGUCGAAGGGGACGAUAAUGACAGUACCGGGAGAAUAAGCUCCGGCUAACUCCGUGCCAGCAGCCGCGGUAAUACGGAGGGAGCUAGCGUUGUUCGGAAUUACUGGGCGUAAAGCGCACGUAGGCGGCUUUGUAAGUCAGAGGUGAAAGCCUGGAGCUCAACUCCAGAACUGCCUUUGAGACUGCAUCGCUUGAAUCCAGGAGAGGUGAGUGGAAUUCCGAGUGUAGAGGUGAAAUUCGUAGAUAUUCGGAAGAACACCAGUGGCGAAGGCGGCUCACUGGACUGGUAUUGACGCUGAGGUGCGAAAGCGUGGGAGCAAACAGGAUUAGAUACCCUGGUAGUCCACGCCGUAAACGAUGAUAACUAGCUGUCCGGGCACUUGGUGCUUGGGUGGCGCAGCUAACGCAUUAAGUUAUCCGCCUGGGGAGUACGGUCGCAAGAUUAAAACUCAAAGGAAUUGACGGGGGCCUGCACAAGCGGUGGAGCAUGUGGUUUAAUUCGAAGCAACGCGCAGAACCUUACCAGCGUUUGACAUGUCCGGACGAUUUCCAGAGAUGGAUCUCUUCCCUUCGGGGACUGGAACACAGGUGCUGCAUGGCUGUCGUCAGCUCGUGUCGUGAGAUGUUGGGUUAAGUCCCGCAACGAGCGCAACCCUCGCCUUUAGUUACCAUCAUUUAGUUGGGGACUCUAAAGGAACCGCCGGUGAUAAGCCGGAGGAAGGUGGGGAUGACGUCAAGUCCUCAUGGCCCUUACGCGCUGGGCUACACACGUGCUACAAUGGCGGUGACAGUGGGCAGCAAACUCGCGAGAGUGCGCUAAUCUCCAAAAGCCGUCUCAGUUCGGAUUGUUCUCUGCAACUCGAGAGCAUGAAGGCGGAAUCGCUAGUAAUCGCGGAUCAGCAUGCCCCCGUUUUGCGUUCCCGGGCCUUGUA